rnacentral:rRNA from 1 species
CCUACGGGUGGCAGCAGUGAGGAAUAUUGGUCAAUGGACGAGAGUCUGAACCAGCCAAGUAGCGUGAAGGAUGACUGCCCUAUGGGUUGUAAACUUCUUUUAUAUGGGAAUAAAACGUUCCACGUGUGGGAGUUUGUAUGUACCAUAUGAAUAAGGAUCGGCUAACUCCGUGCCAGCAGCCGCGGUAAUACGGAGGAUCCGAGCGUUAUCCGGAUUUAUUGGGUUUAAAGGGAGCGUAGGUGGAUUGUUAAGUCAGUUGUGAAAGUUUGCGGCUCAACCGUAAAAUUGCAGUUGAAACUGGCAGUCUUGAGUACAGUAGAGGUGGGCGGAAUUCGUGGUGUAGCGGUGAAAUGCUUAGAUAUCACGAAGAACUCCGAUUGCGAAGGCAGCUCACUGGACUGCAACUGACACUGAUGCUCGAAAGUGUGGGUAUCAAACAGGAUUAGAUACCCCAGUAGUC